UACGUAGGGCGCAAGCGUUGUCCGGAAUUAUUGGGCGUAAAGAGCUCGUAGGCGGUUUGUCGCGUCUGCUGUGAAAACUCGAGGCUCAACCUCGGGCUUGCAGUGGGUACGGGCAGACUAGAGUGCGGUAGGGGUGACUGGAAUUCCUGGUGUAGCGGUGGAAUGCGCAGAUAUCAGGAGGAACACCAAUAGCGAAGGCAGCUCGCUGGGACGGUACUGACGCUAAGGCGCGAAAGCGUGGGGAGCGAACGAGG
rnacentral:rRNA from 1 species